CAGCCGCCGCGGUAAUACGGAGGGCGCGAGCGUUACCCGGAUUUACUGGGCGUAAAGGGCGUGUAGGCGGCCUGGGGCGUCCCAUGUGAAAGGCCACGGCUCAACCGUGGAGGAGCGUGGGAUACGCUCAGGCUAGAGGGUGGGAGAGGGUGGUGGAAUUCCCGGAGUAGCGGUGAAAUGCGCAGAUACCGGGAGGAACGCCGAUGGCGAAGGCAGCCACCUGGUCCACUUCUGACGCUGAGGCGCGGAAGCGUGGGGAGCAAACCGGAUUAGAUACCCCCGUAGUCCCUGUCUCUUAUAC
rnacentral:rRNA from 1 species